rnacentral:rRNA from 1 species
AAUAGAUACCCAGGUAGUCCACGCCGUAAACGUUGGAUACUAGGUGUGGCGGUCUUACCAACGACUGCCGUGCCGAAGCUAACGCAUUAAGUAUCCCGCCUGGGGAGUACGGCCGCAAGGCUAAAACUCAAAGGAAUUGACGGGUCCCCGCACAAGCAGCGGAGCAUGCGGCUUAAUUCGAUGCAACCCGAAGAACCUUACCUGGGUUUGACAUCACGGGAAAAGCUGUAGAAAUACAGUGUCCAUUAGGGCCCGUGACAGGUGGUGCAUGGCUGUCGUCAGCUCGUGUCGUGAGAUGUUGGGUUAAGUCCCGCAACGAGCGCAACCCUUGUCCUAUGUUGCCAGCGGUUCGGCCGGGGACUCAUAGGAGACUGCCGGGGAUAACUCGGAGGAAGGUGAGGACGACGUCAAGUCAUCAUGCCCCUUAUAUCCAGGGCUGCACGCAUGCUACAAUGGCCGGUACAACGGGCAGCGAUCCCGCGAGGGUGAGCGAAUCCUAAAAAGCCGGUCCUAGUUCGGAUUGAAGUCUGCAACUCGACUU